UACGGAAGGCAGCAGUGGGGAAUAUUGCACAAUGGGCGAAAGCCUGAUGCAGCUAUGCCGCGUGUAUGAAGAAGGCCUUAGGGUUGUAAAGUACUUUCAGCAGGGAGGAAAGAAAUAAAACUAAUAAUUUUAUUUUGUGACGUUACCUGAAGAAGAAGCACCGGCUAACUCCGUGCCAGCAGCCGCGGUAAUACGGAGGGUGCAAGCGUUAAUCAGAAUUACUGGGCGUAAAGAGCGCGUAGGUGGUUUUUUUAAAGUCAGAUGUGAAAUCCCUAGGCUUAACCUAGGAACUGCAUUUUGAAACUGAAAAACUAGAGUAUCGUAGAGGGAGGUAGAAUUCUAGGUGUAGCGGUGAAAUGCGUAGAUAUCUGGAGGAAUACCUGUGGCGAAAGCGGCCUCCUAAACGAAUACUGACACUGAGUGCGAAAGCGUGGGGAGCAAACAGGGAUUAGAUACC
rnacentral:rRNA from 1 species